UAUUGGACAAUGGGCGAAAGCCUGAUCCAGCAAUGCCGCGUGAGUGAUGAAGGCCUUAGGGUUGUAAAGCUCUUUUACCCGGGAUGAUAAUGACAGUACCGGGAGAAUAAGCUCCGGCUAACUCCGUGCCAGCAGCCGCGGUAAUACGGAGGGAGCUAGCGUUGUUCGGAAUUACUGGGCGUAAAGCGCACGUAGGCGGCUUUGUAAGUUAGAGGUGAAAGCCUGGAGCUCAACUCCAGAAUUGCCUUUGAUACUGCAUCGCUUGAAUCCAGGAGAGGUGAGUGGAAUUCCGAGUGUAGAGGUGAAAUUCGUAGAUAUUCGGAAGAACACCAGUGGCGAAGGCGGCUCACUAGUGCUGGUAUUGACGCUGAGGUGCGAAA
rnacentral:rRNA from 1 species